rnacentral:rRNA from 6 species
CCUACGGGAGGCAGCAGUGGGGAAUAUUGGACAAUGGGCGAAAGCCUGAUCCAGCCAUGCCGCGUGUGUGAAGAAGGUCUUCGGAUUGUAAAGCACUUUAAGUUGGGAGGAAGGGCAGUAAGCUAAUACCUUGCUGUUUUGACGUUACCGACAGAAUAAGCACCGGCUAACUCUGUGCCAGCAGCCGCGGUAAU